rnacentral:sRNA from 1 species
CGGAAGCGCGACGCUGGAGCUGCGGGGUUACCAUGGGAACCGAACCGCCGCGCCUCGCCCAGGACAGUUACACUUAGAGGCCUUCAAAAGAGGGAGAAUGCCCUCCCGAUAAGAACCCAUGCAAAGAGCUGUGCCAGGGCGACGAAUUGUGUCCGGCUGAACAGAAGUGCUGCACCACAGGCUGUGGUCGGAUCUGCCGAGACAUUCCUAAGGAGUUUGGUGGUGAAUGUCCCGCUGACCCCCUUCCAUGUGAGGAGCUGUGUGAUGGGGAUGCAUCCUGUCCCCAGGGGCAUAAAUGCUGCAGCACCGGCUGUGGCCGCACCUGCCUCGGAGACAUUGAGGGAGGGCGGGGCGGUGAUUGUCCAAAAGUUCUGGUGGGCCUGUGCAUUGUUGGCUGUGUGAUGGAUGAGAAUUGUCAAGCUGGAGAAAAAUGUUGCAAGUCAGGCUGUGGCCGCUUCUGUGUCCCACCAGUACUGCCCCCAAAACUGACCAUGAACCCCAACUGGACUGUGAGGUCUGAUUCCGAAUUAG